rnacentral:rRNA from 1 species
UGGUGGGUUGCCUUGUCAGGUUGAUUCCGGUAACGAACGAGACCUCAGCCUGCUAAAUAGUCACGCGUACCCCAUGGUACACGCUUGACUUCUUAGAGGGACUAUUGGCGUUUAGCCAAUGGAAGUGUGAGGCAAUAACA